UAGCCUUAACUGCACCAUGAACACUUGUC
rnacentral:sRNA from 1 species